AUUGAACGCUGGCGGCAGGCUUAACACAUGCAAGUCGAGCGGGGUGAUGGUGCUUGCACUAUCACUUAGCGGCGGACGGGUGAGUAAUGCUUAGGAAUCUGCCUAUUAGUGGGGGACAACAUCUCGAAAGGGAUGCUAAUACCGCAUACGUCCUACGGGAGAAAGCAGGGGAUCACUUGUGACCUUGCGCUAAUAGAUGAGCCUAAGUCGGAUUAGCUAGUUGGUGGGGUAAAGGCCUACCAAGGCGACGAUCUGUAGCGGGUCUGAGAGGAUGAUCCGCCACACUGGGACUGAGACACGGCCCAGACUCCUACGGGAGGCAGCAGUGGGGAAUAUUGGACAAUGGGGGGAACCCUGAUCCAGCCAUGCCGCGUGUGUGAAGAAGGCCUUAUGGUUGUAAAGCACUUUAAGCGAGGAGGAGGCUUACCUAGUUAAUACCUGGGAUAAGUGACGUUACUCGCAGAAUAAGCACCGGCUAACUCUGUGCCAGCCGCCGCCGUAA
rnacentral:rRNA from 1 species